rnacentral:lncRNA from 1 species
UUUUAGUUUAUUUUAGAUGGUUUUUCUUCUUCUUUUUCGUGAUUUCAAUUCUAAUGUAUUGUCCCAAACUAUGAUUUGAAUAUUAUAUCUGUUUUGUUUCAGUCAAUUUAUUUUAUGUUUUUUGUUAUUUAAGUGAUGAUUACUAGCAUGAGUGGUUGAAAAAGAUUGUCUAGAUGAAAUUUUUUAAUGCCAUUUUCAUGUCAAUACCUAUCAAUCGUGAUAUCUCUGAAAUGAUUUGAUGUGGUUUUCUAGAGUUCUACUGAAAGGGGUGCUGAAUUAU